GUGAAUCAUCGAAUCUUUGAACGCAUAUUGCACCAUCUGGUAUUCCGGAGAGUAUGCCUAUUUGAGGGUCAUUUGAAAUAAUAUGAAUUUCGAGAUGUUUUGGAAAUCAAAAAUUGGUCGGUGCAGCUGUCAUGUAGUGGUCGCCUAAAUUGCAAGACAAGCCCAUGUCUUAUGUUUCGUGAUACUUGCAGUUACCUCGUGACU
rnacentral:misc_RNA from 1 species